rnacentral:lncRNA from 1 species
UCCAAAGAUAUCCUGAAGCUCAGGGUCUCGUAAGAGCCAUCAUGAGGAGAAAGAAAUGGUCAGAGAAUGUUCACAGUUAAUAUUUUGGAUGUUACAACGUGUGACAUGCCUGUGUGGCCCCAGAAAUGCCAUUUUGCCACAGAAUUUGUAAGAAAAUGCAUAUAACCAACCACGAGUGGACCCAAAACUGAAGAAGGGGAAAUUACCACUACAGAUGUUAU